UACGUAGGGUGCAAGCGUUGUCCGGAAUUAUUGGGCGUAAAGAGCUCGUAGGCGGUUUGUCACGUCUGCUGUGAAAAUCCAAGGCUCAACCUUGGACUUGCAGUGGGUACGGGCAGGCUAGAGUGCGGUAGGGGAGAUGGGAAUUCCUGGUGUAGCGGUGGAAUGCGCAGAUAUCAGGAGGAACACCAAUGGCGAAGGCACAUCUCUGGGCCGUAACUGACGCUGAGGAGCGAAAGCGUGGGGAGCGAACAGGAUUAGAUACCCUGGUAGUCCACGCCGUAAACGGUGGGUGCUAGCUGUGGGCCACAUUCCACGUGGUCCGUGACGAAGUUAACACAUUAAGCACCCCGCCUGGGGAGUACGGCCGCAAGGCUAAAACUCAAAGGAAUUGACGGGGGCCCGCACAAGCGGCGGAGCAUGCGGAUUAAUUCGAUGCAACGCGAGGAACCUUACCAAGGCUUGACAUAUAGAGGAAAAGUGCAGAAAUGCACUCCCCGCAAGGUCUCUAUACAGGUGGUGCAUGGUUGUCGUCAGCUCGUGUCGUGAGAUGUUGGGUUAAGUCCCGCAACGAGCGCAACCCUCGUCCUAUGUUGCCAGCACGUUAUGGUGGGAACUCAUGGGAUACUGCCGGGGUCAACUCGGAGGAAGGUGGGGAUGACGUCAAAUCAUCAUGCCCCUUAUGUCUUGGGCUUCACGCAUGCUACAAUGGCCGGUACAGAGGGCUGCAAUACCGUAAGGUGGAGCGAAUCCCAAAAAGCCGGUCUCAGUUCGGAUUGAGGUCUGCAACUCGACCUCAUGAAGUCGGAGUCGCUAGUAAUCGUAGAUCAGCAACGCUACGGUGAAUACGUUCCCGGGCCU
rnacentral:rRNA from 1 species